rnacentral:rRNA from 1 species
CGACUCUCGACAACGGAUAUCUCGGCUCUCGCAUCGAUGAAGAACGUAGCGAACUGCGAUACUUGGUGUGAAUUGCAGAAUCCCGUGAACCAUCGAGUCUUUGAACGCAAGUUGCGCCCGAAGCCAUCUGGUUAGGGCACGUUUGCCUGGGUGUCACAC